ACCGGCAGCUCAAGUGGUGGCCAUUUUUAUUGGGCCUAAAGCGUUCGUAGCCGGUUUGAUAAGUCUCUGGUGAAAUCCCGCAGCUUAACUGUGGGACUUGCUGGAGAUACUAUUAGACUUGAGGUCGGGAGAGGUUAGGGGUACUCCCAGGGUAGGCGUGAAAUCCUAUAAUCCUGGGAGGACUACCUGUGGCGACGGCGCCUAACUGGCACGAACCUGACGGUGAGUAACGUGAGCCAGAGGCUCGACCCG
rnacentral:rRNA from 1 species